CUACGUACCUGACAAAGAAGAUACAAUGAUCAAAAAGGUGGUUUUUCCAGGGCUAGACUCAUCCAUUGCACUCCGGAUGUUCUACCCCCCUGUGAUUUCCCCAGUGUUGGAAACUCAACUGCAUAAUUUGUGGUAUUAGGUGACUGUAUUGGCAUUCUUCCCAG